AAAGCAGGGGAUCGCAAGACCUUACGCUUUUGGAGCGGCCGAUGUCUGAUUAGCUAGUUGGUGAGGUAAAGGCUUACCAAGGCUUCGAUCAGUAGCUGGUCUGAGAGGACGGCCAGCCACACUGGGACUGAGACACGGCCCAGACUCCUACGGGAGGCAGCAGUGGGGAAUUUUGGACAAUGGGCGAAACCCUGAUCCAGCCAUGCCGCGUGAGUGAAGAAGGCCUUCGGGUUGUAAAGCUCUUUCAGCCGGAAAGAAACGGUUACGAUUAAUACCUGUAACUAAUGACGGUACCGAAAGAAGAAGCACCGGCUAACUACGUGCCAGCAGCCGCGGUAAUACGUAGGGUGCGAGCGUUAAUCGGAAUUACUGGGCGUAAAGGGUGCGCAGGUGGUUUUGUAAGUCAGAUGUGAAAUCCCCGGGCUUAACCUGGGAACUGCGUUUGAAACUACAAAGCUAGA
rnacentral:rRNA from 1 species